AACGAACGCUGGCGGCAUGCCUAACACAUGCAAGUCGAACGAGACCUUCGGGUCUAGUGGCGCACGGGUGCGUAACGCGUGGGAACCUGCCCUUAGGUUCGGAAUAACUCCCCGAAAGGGGUGCUAAUACCGGAUAAUGUCUUCGGACCAAAGAUUUAUCGCCUUUGGAUGGGCCCGCGUUGGAUUAGCUAGUUGGUAGGGUAAAAGCCUACCAAGGCGACGAUCCAUAGCUGGUCUGAGAGGAUGAUCAGCCACACUGGGACUGAGACACGGCCCAGACUCCUACGGGAGGCAGCAGUGGGGAAUAUUGGACAAUGGGCGAAAGCCUGAUCCAGCAAUGCCGCGUGAGUGAUGAAGGCCUUAGGGUUGUAAGGCUCUUUUACCCGGGAUGAUAAUGACAGUACCGGGAGAAUAAGCUCCGGCUAACUCCGU
rnacentral:rRNA from 1 species